rnacentral:rRNA from 1 species
UACGUAGGGUCCGAGCGUUGUCCGGAAUUACUGGGCGUAAAGAGCUCGUAGGUGGUUUGUCGCGUUGUUCGUGAAAAACUCACAGCUUAACUGUGGGCGUGCGGGCGAUACGGGCAGACUUGAGUACUGCAGGGGAGACUGGAAUUCCUGGUGUAGCGGUGGAAUGCGCAGAUAUCAGGAGGAACACCGGUGGCGAAGGCGGGUCUCUGGGCAGUAACUGACGCUGAGGAGCGAAAGCGUGGGGGAGCGAACAGG